rnacentral:rRNA from 1 species
ACGGAAGGCAGCAGUGGGGAAUAUUGCACAAUGGGGGAAACCCUGAUGCAGCGACGCCGCGUGAGUGAAGAAGUAUUUCGGUAUGUAAAGCUCUAUCAGCAGGAAAGAAAAUGACGGUACCUGACUAAGAAGCCCCGGCUAACUACGUGCCAGCAGCCGCGGUGAUACGUAGGGGGCAAGCGUUAUCCGGAUUUACUGGGUGUAAAGGGAGCGUAGACGGCUUUGCAAGUCUGAAGUGAAAGCCCGGGGCUCAACCCCGGAACUGCUUUGGAAACUGUAGAGCUAGAGUGCAGGAGAGGUAAGUGGAAUUCCUAGUGUAGCGGUGAAAUGCGUAGAUAUUAGGAGGAACACCAGUGGCGAAGGCGGCUUACUGGACUGUAACUGACGUUGAGGCUCGAAGGCGUGGGGAGCAAACAGGAUUAGAUACCCUGGUA